rnacentral:rRNA from 1 species
UUGAGUGGGGGAUAACGUAGCGAAAGUUACGCUAAUACCGCAUAUUCUGUGAGCAGGAAAGCAGGGGACCGCAAGGCCUUGCGCUCUUUGAGCGGCCGAUGUCAGAUUAGCUAGUUGGUGAGGUAAAGGCUUACCAAGGCGACGAUCUGUAGCGGGUCUGAGAGGAUGAUCCGCCACACUGGAACUGAGACACGGUCCAGACUCCUACGGGAGGCAGCAGUGGGGAAUUUUGGACAAUGGGCGCAAGCCUGAUCCAGCCAUGCCGCGUGAGUGAAGAAGGCCUUCGGGUUGUAAAGCUCUUUCGGCCGGGAAGAAAUCGCAUGGGUUAAUACCCUGUGUGGAUGACGGUACCGGAAUAAGAAGCACCGGCUAACUACGUGCCAGCAGCCGCGGUAAUACGUAGGGUGCGAGCGUUAAUCGGAAUUACUGGGCGUAAAGCGUGCGCAGGCGGUUUUGUAAGACAGGCGUGAAAUCCCCGGGCUUAACCUGGGAACUGCGUUCGUGACUGCAAGACUAGAGUACGGCAGAGGGGGGUGGAAUUCCACGUGUAGCAGUGAAAUGCGUAGAGAUGUGGAGGAACACCAAUGGCGAAGGCAGCCCCCUGGGUCGAUACUGACGCUCAUGCACGAAAGCGUGGGUAGCAAACAGGAUUAGAUACCCUGGUAGUCCACGCCCUAAACUAUGUCAACUAGGUGUUGGGUGGGUAAAACCAUUUAGUACCGUAGCUAACGCGUGAAGUUGACCGCCUGGGGAGUACGGCCGCAAGGUUAAAACUCAAAGGAAUUGACGGGGACCCGCACAAGCGGUGGAUGAUGUGGAUUAAUUCGAUGCAACGCGAAAAACCUUACCUACCCUUGACAUGCCAGGAACUUGCCAGAGAUGGCUUGGUGCCCGAAAGGGAGCCUGGACACAGGUGCUGCAUGGCUGUCGUCAGCUCGUGUCGUGAGAUGUUGGGUUAAGUCCCGCAACGAGCGCAACCCUUGUCGUUAAUUGCCAUCAUUUAGUUGGGCACUUUAGCGAGACUGCCGGUGACAAACCGGAGGAAGGUGGGGAUGACGUCAAGUCCUCAUGGCCCUUAUGGGUAGGGCUUCACACGUCAUACGAUGGUCGGUACAGAGGGUUGCCAACCCGCGAGGGGGAGCCAAUCCCAGAAAGCCGAUCGUAGUCCGGAUUGCAGGCUGCAACUCGCCUGCAUGAAGUCGGAAUCGCUAGUAAUCGCGGAUCAGCAUGCCGCGGUGAAUACGUUCCCGGGUCUUGUACACACCGCCCGUCACACCAUGGGAGCGGGUUCCGCCAGAAGUAGGUAGCCUAACCGCAAGGAGGGCGCUUACCACGGCGGGGUUCGUGACUGGGGUGAAGUCGUAACAAGGUA